UUCUCUCCCCGCCUCCCGCCCAGCGGCGCAGGGGGCCGGGCUCUGGCGAGAGAGGUGGGGGCCGCGCCGGUGACAGCCGCUCCCCUACCCUGCUGCCCGCCACGUCCCUCACGUACCACUCGGCAGAGGCGCGGGGAAACGUGGCGCCCGGGCUCUGGCUUCUCUAGCGGGGCUCGGCAUGAGGCUGGCGCGGCUGCUUCGCGGAGCCGCCUUGGCAGUCCCGGGUCCGGGGCUGCGCGCCGCCGGCCCCAGCCGCACCUUCAGCUCGGACUCGGGCUCCGGCCCGGCGUCCGAGCGCGGCGUUCCGGGCCAGGUGGACUUCUACGCGCGCUUCUCACCGUCCCCGCUCUCCAUGAAGCAGUUCCUGGACUUCGGAUCAGUGAAUGCUUGUGAAAAGACCUCAUUUAUGUUUCUGCGGCAGGAGUUGCCUGUCAGACUGGCAAAUAUAAUGAAAGAAAUAAGUCUCCUUCCAGAUAAUCUUCUCAGAACACCAUCCGUUCAAUUGGUACAAAGCUGGUAUAUCCAGAGUCUUCAGGAGCUUCUAGAUUUUAAGGACAAAAGUGCUGAGGAUGCUAAAGCUAUUUAUGACUUUACAGAUACUGUGAUACGGAUCAGAAACCGACACAAUGAUGUCAUUCCCACAAUGGCCCAGGGUGUGAUUGAAUACAAGGAGAGCUUUGGGGUGGAUCCUGUCACCAGCCAGAAUGUUCAGUACUUUUUGGAUCGAUUCUACAUGAGUCGCAUUUCAAUUAGAAUGUUACUCAAUCAGCACUCUUUAUUGUUUGGGGGAAAAGGCAAAGGAAGUCCGUCUCAUCGAAAACACAUUGGAAGCAUAAAUCCAAACUGCAAUGUAGUUGAAGUUAUUAAAGAUGGCUAUGAAAAUGCUAGGCGUCUGUGUGAUUUGUAUUAUAUUAACUCUCCCGAACUAGAACUUGGAGAACUAAAUGCAAAAUCACCAGGACAGCCAAUACAAGUGGUUUAUGUACCAUCCCAUCUCUAUCACAUGGUGUUUGAACUUUUCAAGAAUGCAAUGAGAGCCACUAUGGAACACCAUGCCAACAGAGGUGUUUACCCCCCUAUUCAAGUUCAUGUCACGCUGGGUAAUGAGGAUUUGACUGUGAAGAUGAGUGACCGAGGAGGUGGUGUUCCUUUGAGGAAAAUUGACAGACUCUUCAACUACAUGUAUUCAACUGCACCGAGACCUCGUGUUGAGACUUCCCGCGCGGUGCCCCUGGCUGGUUUUGGUUAUGGAUUGCCCAUAUCACGUCUUUACGCACAAUACUUCCAAGGAGACCUGAAGCUGUAUUCCCUAGAGGGUUACGGGACAGAUGCAGUUAUCUACAUUAAGGCUUUGUCAACAGACUCAAUAGAAAGACUCCCAGUGUAUAACAAAGCUGCCUGGAAGCAUUACAACACCAACCACGAGGCUGAUGACUGGUGCGUCCCCAGCAGAGAACCCAAAGACAUGACGACAUUCCGCAGUGCCUAGACACACUUGGGACAUCCGGAGAAUCCAAAUGUGGCUUUUGUAUUAAAUUUGGAAGGGUUGCUGUGAGGAUCAAAUGAAAUAAUACAUGUGAUCUGUAUGUAGGAAGAGGAAGACAGAGCUCUUACCAGGGGGAGGCAGAGAUGGCACAGCAAGAGACAUGCCCCAGAAUGUCAUCAAUGCCCCAGGACAGGCCCACCCAUGGCAUCAGGUUAUCAGGGACCCUGUGGGGGUGGGGUGGAAUGUGAGGGGUGAGCCUUCUUCCACAGGCUGGGAGUGGGCGAGACGAGACUGGGGCGUCUACAUCUGAGUGCCCCCAAACCCAGUGGUCAUGUCGCGAGGAAACAAAAAAUCACGUUACUUCUUCCAGCUGAUGUUCCACUUGUUUCUUCUCUUGUUUCUGUGGGGAGAGUCAAAUUAAGGUGAGGGAGGGCGCCCCCCUCAACUCUAUUCCCUAGGCCAGGAAGCAGUAGGCAGGGGCCAGGAAUGGAUUUUAAAGGCAAAGUUCUCAGACAUAAUGGGAACACGAACUGGCAAACUCUCCUCAAGCUCCCAAGGACAGAGGAUUUGGGUCUUUGUUGGUUUUCACUCACAGCCACAGAACUCAAAGUCUGAAUGUGGAAUCUCUUGAGAGGACAGUAACAUAAACCUCUAGAGAUGGAGUUUGAGAAAGGCCCCCCCUUCUGCCCGCUUGUGAUUUAGAAAAGUGCGUUCAUUCAGUAAACAUUUACUGAGCACGAAUGGGCCAGGUACGGUUCUUCACAGCAGAUAUAGGACAGAAAAUGACAGACAGGAGCCCUUGGCCCUGAGGUUUCCAUUCUAGGGGUCCUUUAAAUCUCGGACUCUAAGAGCUAACAGACACCUUUGAUGCUCACUACCUCCUCUGGAAAUGCGAGCCCAAAAAGCAGAGGCGGCUUGUCCAGAAUCAAAGAGCAAAUUAGGGACUGAGUCACGGCAGAAAUACGGGGCCCCUGACAACCAGUCAGGCUUGCACUCCCCCGAGAGGCAACAACCCCAGGGCGUGUGUAGCAAGGACUAGAGCAGGGGUGUGUGGAGAGGAGAGAGUUGGCAAAGAGGGCAGCAAAAGAACAGCCAUGCUGCAUGCUCUGGGGUCCUUCCAGGUGAGGUCUGGGUGCCCCAGCUCCCUAUUUGCCCUUGGCACCAGGGGCCCCCAGUCCCUUUCUUCAGGGCCCCAAGGGGAAACUGGAGCCCAGGAUUGUCAGUGUGGAAUCAGGGGACCCCACUGGACUCUUACCAAAGAUUUGAUGGUGUUCUUCAGUAGACUGAUCUUGACCGGCCUUGAGUCCAGGACUGCUGCUAGUUCUUGGGACGGGCUCUGAGGCGCAUAUAGAGAAGAGGAGGUGGAGGAGGAGUGGGGGAGAGGUAGAGAGAACAAUCAUUAGGGCUGGGGUGUGGUGGGCUGUCUCAGCUUACAGAGGGGCACCCAGUCCCCGCUGUCGGAGGAGGUUGGAGGGCUGGCCUACGGGGUCACUACACCUCCGCCCAGAGCCUCUUACCUCCAGAUCCUUGAGGGGUGCAGAUGACGUAGGGCCCUCUCCGUCGAUACCCGUUGCUGACUACAAGAGAUGAGAGUGCACAUGGCAGAUGUUCUGUCCCUCUGUGUCUAAGCCCUCUGACUUCCUUUCUUCCCCAUCAACUGGCACAAUUUUCUUUUCUGCCUAUCUUGGACCCUUUGUCCCAUAACUCCUUUGUGCCAACUUCUCUGAUGGUUCUUAUCUCCCCACCAUCCCACCCUGGCGCCUUUUCAGUGACUCCUGAUGGCAAAUGGCUGUUCUCAUUGUCCUGGCUUCCCCUUGAGACUGGGGAUGAGGAAAAUCAAACAGCAAUGACCAUAUCCUGGUGUCUUGGGUGUUUACAGCAGGCCAUGUACUAGGGAUUAACAUAAAACAAUAACAAAUCUCAUUUAAACCUCACAAAUGGAAGUCAAACAAUAAUACCACCUCUAUUAUACAGAUGUGCAAAGAGAGGCCCAAAGAGCUCAAGCAACUUAACCUAAAUUAUAUCCCUGGCAGAUGGAGAGGCAGGAUUCAAACCCAGAAUUCUUAACCAGUACCCAACAGUCCAUUCACAAUCUUAACAAUUACCCUCUACUGCCCCUUGGGCCCCCUGUCCCCAGGAGCCUCGUCAGCCAAGACUCACAUCACCAGUUGAGUGGCAACCACCAGAAGUGGCUGUCUCAGGGCUACUGCCAUUUGUUUUCCUGUUCUUAUUCACUCCUGCUGGACCACCAGGGCUGUUUCUCUGCCAAUAUUCUUUUAACUGUGGGAAAGAAGAGCAGUAAUCCUCAUGAGAACCAUCAGCCCCUACAGCCACAUGCUCCUUUACAGUUUUUACAAAAUACUCUUAUACAUCAUCUGAUUUAAUGACACCAAUAUCUGUACAAGGUGUUGUCACCAUCAUUUAGUGACUGAGAGGGAUUGAUACAAUGGCUAGAAAAAAAAAAAAGAAAAAGAAAAAGAAAAAGGUGAUACUGGAACUUCGAAACUCAGUCUUCUGACUCCAAGCUCUGGGGUUUUGCCAAAAGUCAGCAGAUGCCAGGGACCAAAACCAGAGGCAGAGGUAGAAAAGUAAACAUUAGGUAGGCAGGAACUGCAUGGUUUAGAGUCAUACAUCCUCACACAUCUGUUAGUAUCAAGAAGUGCACCAGUACCUCUCAAACUUCUAUAUCAAUGUGUCCUCCUGUCAGAAGGCAGCCUUUCUGUUAAAUCUGGGAAUUCAUCAGAAAGAGGACAACCCAAGCCUCAUUUCAGAGAGAAGUCCGGUAUACUCUCAGAAGCCUAUGUGACUGUCAUCCUUAAGUACAUUAAUGUUUUUUCUCCUUAUCUCAAGAGAAUCAAGGGAAACUGAUGCUUCAGAAAGAUGUCCCACAUUUAUCCCGUGGCACUCAAAGUUCUGCAGGUCGAGAUAAUAUGAGGAAGAUUCAAGCUGUCAAGUUCAGUUUCCCAAGAUCUAUUCCACAGAAGAUGAGCAAAUCUCACUUCAGAGACCACUGACUGAAGGGUAGUCUGGUCCCAGAACCAUGGAGAAAUAGAAUAUGAGGUGGAGAACUCAGAAAAAAAAUGUUAAAAUCUCUCUGGAAAGUAGAAGCCUUGGAGAAAACCAAACUAAACCCAUUCUCUCAUUGUCACCCAGAGAUACUGUCAGUGUUUUGAGCUCACAGGGGAAGUGUAGGCUUUUCCCCCAUCAAUGUCUAUGUUAAAGGAGUGAGGCAGCCUGGAACCCCUUGCUCCUAGGUCCCAUGGUCUCCAUUCCCCUUCCAGCUGCAAAUUUGCGCUAUGACCAGAAGAACAAGAAAUGAGGUGACAACACUUAGGGCACUGGGUCAUAAGAUCAAAGGCCGGUCUUCCAGUAAUGACAGUUCCUAGGCAGAUUGUGACAUCACUACAUUCCACUCCUCCUGGUUGGGCGGGGGGGCACAUCAGCAAAAUGUCCGAGUCCCACUACACUAUGGGGGAGGGAAACACAGGAUUGGGACCCAGGUCCUUGGAGACACCAGCACAAAGAGCCCAGGGAGUUUGACUUUGAGGCAGCAGGAGGGGAGGACAGAGUCUGCAGUAGGGAGCCCCAGGAAUCACCAGCCCAAAGUCACCCAGGGACAACUGGCGAGGGUGGGGCCUAGGGCUGGGGGACCCAGGUGCUUGGAAACGUGAGCCCAAAGAACCCAGGGAGGUCAAGUUUGGGUAGGCAGGAGGUGAGGGCCCAGUAAUAGAGCGGGAAGUCCCAGGAGUCACACACCCAAAGUCAUCCUGGGGUAACUGGUGAGGGUAGGGACUGGGCUGCUUGCUGAAGGGGCAGGGCUGAUUGACAAGACUUUGGUGGUGGGAGCCCAGAGGUGCCAGGGUUGGGGGUCCCAGUUUGGUUUGCCUCAGGAGUGAUAUUGACUCUGGCAGUGGUCUUGUCGUCAAAGGGGAUCUGUGGCUAGGUUGGGGGGCCAUGACCUGGUGCAUAUUUACCUUUUUCUUGGCUAAGGCCAAUUUACUCUGUCGAGUUUCUUCUGCCAUCGCAGGGUGGGGAGGGAAGCGGGAUUGGGGCCACGUCAGCAAAAUCCCAGCGAGCACUGAUCAACGCUUCCAGUCACCUACCAGGCAGCUGAGCAACUGAACCAGAGGAGGCGUAACCAGGGCUCCAGUAGAAUGCAGAAAAGGGGUGUGGCCUUAAUGCUCCAAGCCCAUUGGUCAAUGAGAAAGAUGAAAGGGAAUUGGGGCGUGGCCAGGCAGCACUGUGUCCAAAGGGACCUGUGGCUCACAAGGAAAGCUGUCCAUGCAACCACUGUCCCCAACCACUCUGAGAGAGGGAAGGGGCUGCCCAAUCUCACAGAGGGAAGGGGCUGGCUUUUGUUUUAAAAGCUUUAAAACUUUUUUAAAAAGUGUGUAUACUUUAUAUAUGUGUGUGCCUGUGUGUGUGUAUGUGUUCCUCCAGAACUGUCUUCAUUAUCCAGCUUCUAUGCAAGGUCUUUGAUUUUGAUCUGUAUUUUUCAUCUUCAAAUACAGUACAAAAAUUACCAGUAUUGCCUUAACUGAGAUACAGAGCCUAUAAAAACGGAAAAUCUAUAGCAUGCUUGAUGGUUAAUGAAGCAGACUAUAUUAUCCAACAUUCCAAUAAGAUAAGAUAAUCACAAUGAUUUCUCUUUUUUGGAAAAACAUUUCUCUUAUUCUCUUAUUGUUAUGAUUUUUUUUUUUCUUACACAAGAAACAAGUCUAAUAUCUGUAAAAACACAAAGCUUUUGUGCUGGGUGCGGUGCUUCACGCCUGUAAUCCCAGCACUUUGGGAGCCUGAUGUGGGUGGAUCACGAGGUCAGGAAAUCGAGACCAUUCUGGCUAAC